rnacentral:SRP_RNA from 1 species
UACCGGUCUCCUCGCACGAUAAAACAGUUAACCCCGCCAGAUCCGGAAGGAAGCAACGGUCACUGUCGAGUCGGUGCCGAGGCCGGGCUGGUAGGG